UACGGAGGAUCCAAGCGUUAUCCGGAAUUACUGGGCGUAAAGAGUUGCGUAGGUGGCAUAGUAAGUUAAAAGUGAAAGCGUGUGGCUCAACCAUACUCACAUUUCUAAAACUGCUAAGCUUGAAUAUAGAAGAGGUAGCUGGAAUUUCUAGUGUAGGAGUGAAAUCCGUAGAUAUUAGAAGGAACACCGAUGGCGUAGGCAGGCUACUGGUCUAUUAUUGACACUAAGGCACGAAAGCGUGGGGAGCAAACGGG
rnacentral:rRNA from 1 species